CGCGUCGGUUCGACCAGUGUUUGUAAACGCGGUUGCCACUAAACGUUCCCGCGAUAUAUCAAGCCGCUCUAUAUAUAAAGCUUUUAAGCCCGGAUUCUGUGCCUCCUCGUAUAAUUAGGACUCUAAGUGUUCAACGUAGGUGCUGGCACAUAUACCACCGAAGAUACAAUCUAUAGGUUGUCAUGAAGAUCGUUUCCACAGAUUAUUCGGACUCACUCGCUGAAAAGGAGUACACAUUUUUUUUGUAUAUUCGUGAGAGACAUCGAGAUUUUUGUCGAAAGGAAAUCGAUAUUUCUGG
rnacentral:misc_RNA from 1 species